AAUGGCUCCAAUAUCCCUUGAGCCCUUUCCAGCUCCACGUAUGCAGCUUUUUUUAAAAUGCUGGCUGCUUGCUUCUCCUGAUCUCAGGAAUGUCUCCAAGAAGCUUCAGAUCUUGGUCCCCAAGCCAUGUGUGAUCUCCUCCCAGAUGGGUCUUCUCCACCCUUGUCAUCAGCCUUCAUACAUGGCCAUGAAAGUCCUGUUUUAGAAUCUCUUUGCUGGAAAAAUCAAUUUUUGUUUGAAGAUAGCUUUGAAAUUUUUGCUCGUAUUAUCACAUAAGCAUUCAUGUCAAUAUUGCAGAACAUACAUGUAUUAAAGGUUAUAAAGUCAAGAGAAUAAUAUUAUCAUUUAAUGAAACAUUGACUCUCAACUCUUAACUGCCAAGGUCCAUGUAGAAUACCAGAGAAGAUGACCAAAUAGGGAAUUUACAGUUUUUAACUGCUUUAGCCACAUCACAGAGGUAACUGAUUAGAUGUUAGGUAUUUGGUGGGA
rnacentral:lncRNA from 1 species